AUUGAACGCUGGCGGCAGGCCUAACACAUGCAAGUCGAGCGAGCGGCGGACGGGUGAGUAAUGUCUGGGAAACUGCCUGAUGGAGGGGGAUAACUACUGGAAACGGUAGCUAAUACCGCAUACCAUCAGAUGUGCCCAGGUGGGAUUAGCUAGUAUGUGGGGUAACGGCUCACCUAGGCGACGAUCCCUAGCGGGUCUGAGAGGAUGACCAGCCAAACUGGAACUGGGAGACGGCCCAGACUCCUACGGGAGGCAGCAUGGGGGAAGAUUGCACAAUGGGCGCAAGCCGGAUGCAGCCAGGCCGCGUGUGUGAAGAAGGCCUUCGGGUUGUAAAGCACUUUCAGCGGGGAGGCGUUACCCGCAGAAGAAGCACCGGCUAACUCCGUGCCAGCAGCCGCGGUAAUAC
rnacentral:rRNA from 1 species